rnacentral:rRNA from 1 species
UACGUAGGGUGCAACGUUGUCCGGAAUUAUUGGGCGUAAGAGCUCGUAGGCGGUUUGUCGCGUCUGCUGUGAAAACUCGGGGCUUAACCCCGGGCCUGCAGUGGGUACGGGCAGACUAGAGUGGCGGUAGGGGAGACUGGAAUUCUUGGUGUAGCGGUGAAAUGCGUAGAUAUCAAGAGGAACAGCCUGAGGUGAAGAGGGUUGCUGGGACUGACACUGACGCUGAGGCGCGAAAGCCAGGGGAGCAAACGGG